ensembl:lncRNA
AGUGCUACUCAGGAUGCUGCAUGUUAUGGGGCUCUGGGAGGACCUGUGUAUCUGCAGCUGAUGAGGGACACCACAGGACAUGACCUGAGGUUAUACAGUGGAGAUAAGAAUGUAUUUACAUCCAAAAGCUCCAAGACAGACUACAACACCCCAUCAUUCCUUCAGAGGUGGCAGUUUGUUCCUGAUAACGGGACCCUGAUUAUAAACCCUGCAGAGAGGAGAGACACAGGAACAUACAGAGUGGCGAUCUAUGAUGAGUCAACAGGGAAGAGUGUGGGAGAGCACACAGUACAGCUGAUCAUUGAAGCUCCUGUGUCUGUUGUGAAUCUGUCAAUCAGCUGCUCAGCCUAUGGGGAGAGGAGGGUGAGUUGCUCCUCCAAUGGGGACAGUCCUCAAUACAGCUGGUCUG